UACGUAGGGGGCAAGCGUUGUCCGGAUUUAUUGGGCGUAAAGAGCGUGUAGGCGGCCAUACAGGGCCGUUGUGAAAACUCGAGGCUCAACCUCGAGACGCCGGUGGAAACCAUCAGGCUAGAGUCCGGAAGAGGAGAGUGGAAUUCCUGGUGUAGCGGUGAAAUGCGCAGAUAUCAGGAAGAACACCCGUGGCUAAGGCGGCUCUCUAGUACGGUACUGACGCUGAGACGCGAAAGCGUGGGGAGCGAACAGG
rnacentral:rRNA from 1 species